GCUGCCGACGCUCCCUCCGGACCCAAACCCCUCCGCCGCGGCGGCGCCUCUCCUAUGGACGCUACGGACGAGCUGCGGUCGCUGGAGGCCACGGGAAUCUACCGCCUCGCAGGCUCCCGCGCCGCCUUCGUCGACCCGGUGCGCCUCCUCGGCGAAUCCUACCGGCGCUUCCGCCUCGUCCCGUCGGCGUACUACUCCCGAAGCUUCGGCCCGUCGCGGCAGGGAGGCGAGGGGACGGCGCCGUCUCCGGACAGGAAGAAGCGCAAGCGGAAGCGCCAGCCGAAACCCCGGGAACUCAACGCCGUGGAGCGGAUCGCAGAAGCGCGGCACCAGGAAGCAAGGCCUUUGCUAAUUAGCGCUCAUAAUUCACUCAUCGAGGCGAAAAAUCUCUUGGAAUUCAUUCCGGGGAUGAUCAAGGGAGAUGAAAGCUGCUCAAAUGUCGAAACUAGUUCUGAGAACAAUUUUGUUGAGCUUGGGGGCUCAUGGCGAGCCCCUUUCUACGAGAUGACUAUUUGCUUUCAGAAGCCUCUUGGUCAGUACGAGGCAGGUACCUGUGAUGUCCAAAAGAGAUCCAGUCCGUUGUUUAAUAGGAUAGUCAAUGUUGAAGAAAACGAUGAGGCAGAAGGAGAAUUUCAGAGUAGACUUUAUAUUUUACCAAAAGGAAGUUGCUUCAUGAUGACUGACUUCACACAUGUUCGUGAUCUCAUUCCUGAUAAUCCUAAUAUAGGGUACAACCUUAUAGUUAUUGACCCACCUUGGGAGAAUGGAUGUGUUCGACAGAAAGAAGCGUAUCCUACACUUCCCAAUAGAAAUUUGUUGUAUCUUCCAGUUCAAGAACUUGCACAUCCAGCUGGAGCUCUUGUAGUUUUGUGGAUUACAAAUCGGGAGAAACUGCGAAGAUUUGUUGAGGAGGAAUUGCUUCCAUCUUGGGGAGUCAAAGACCCCACGGAGUUUUACUGGCUGAAGGUGAAGUCGGAUGGUUCACUGAUUGGCGAUCUAGACUUAUUCCAUCACAGGCCUUAUGAAUGUCUCCUUCUUGGCUACAUAAAUGUUAAUAGAGAAGCUGAAUCAGGAUCGGAAUUUAAGUUUCUGCAAGGCAGCCAAGUAAUUAUGAGUGUUCCGGGCGCACACUCAAGGAAACCUCCCCUUCAGAAAAUACUUUCAGAAUAUAUUCCUGGUCCUAAACCCCCGAGGUGCAUAGAGCUUUUUGCAAGAGAAUUGGGUUCCGGGUGGACCUCUUGGGGAAACGAGCCGCUCCAUUUUCAGGAUUCCAUGUACUUCUCAAAGAAGUAAACUGAUAGACAGGAGCAUGAUAUGCAGAGUUGAACAAUCGCUGUAUCGACGUAAUGCUGUGUCUUGUGGCGUUGUGUCUCGUGUGUUUUCUGCGGUCAAGAGCACCUUCAGCGUGAUGCAUUUUGGACCAUGAACCUCAACUGGUUGUCACUAUAGCAGUCAGAAACUGCAUAGCAAUAGCUAAUUGGUACGGAAUGGCAACUGACAAGGUUCAGUUUUGUCAAAAGUUGGUUGGUUCGAUUUGAAACUAUCUAAGCUUGACCGAAGGACGAUCAAUACUACACUGCGGUUCCCCACAUAACUGUAUCCUGCUUCUUAUUUCUUCUUCUUCUUUUGCGAAUAACUGUAUCUGCUUCUGCCCGGCAAGUGAGAGCACGCCGCAGAGAUCAAAAGUUGCUAGUACCUACCGUUUUGAAAAGGAAAAAAAAAAGUUGCCACCUAAAACUUGUGACUGGUCUAUCGAUCUAACAUGAAUCCUGGUCCAUUCUUGAAGGGAACAUUUGGAUGUAAA